UCCCAUGGCUGGCGGCCUUGUGCGCAGGCGUCGCAGAGACCGCCUCGACCGUCAUUGAGCUCCACGCGGACUGACUCUAUAGUUACUUAGAGCCUCGCUCGGCUCCGGUCACUUUCGUGGAGCCCCCGUGAUGACGUCAGAGGUAACGCAGCCAAUCCCCGCACCAUUGCUGUCCUGCUUAUUUGCAUGCGGGAGUUCGAUUGGUUGGAAUGGCUCCGUGGACUGAGUUUGAUCGGACACGUGCAUUAACUGUUCCUUCCUCUCCCUACCUUCCUUGGCCCAACUGUUAGGGCUGGGUAAAGAUUUGGCUGCCUGCUAGUUUGUGCAGGGAGCCAGCACCACUGGGGAAACUGAGGCCAAGGGAUAGGAAACAAUAGACGGUGAGCUGAGUGAAUCAAAGUGCUUCACCUAGCGUUGAGGCUUUGAGGAGACAAUUGUCGAGGGGUUUGAAUUCCCAGAGACCGGAGAGUUGCCCUUGAGUCUUUCAUUGAAUGAAGUAUGUCGUUUGUCGUGGAGGCAAAGAGUUUGUCAACAUUGAAGGGAAGAUCUUCAAGGGUAUUUUGGACCUCUCGAGGAAAGGAAGAGGAGGAGAGCCAUGAACCUCGGCGCAUGACCACUGCUGUAGCAGUGGAUCUUGCUGCAGUUUUGGCUGCAUCGAGGGCGGCUUGAAGAGAGAUACAUGAGAUGAUCUGUCCCUCGGAAACUAGAGCCAUGAAUUUUUGUUUCUUCCGGAAUGUCAUCAAUAAAGUCCAUGAAUUUGUUGUAAUUUUUGUGGUCAUAUUUUGCCAGAAUGGCAGUAUAAUUAGCAAUGCGAAAUUGUAACGUGGAAGAUGCAUAUACUUUAUGUCCAAGCAGAUCUAAUUGCUUACUGUCCUUGUCAGACGGCGUGGAGCAGGGAAACUGAGGUUUGGUCUUUUGCUUGACUGCCAAUGAGUUUGGCGCUGGAUGAGUGAAAAGGAAUUCAGAACCCUUAGAAGGGAUGAAGUACUUGCGGUCCGCUCGUUUAUAGGUAGGUAGGCUUGCAGCAGGAGUCUGCCAGAUGGCCUUAGUAGGUUCCAAAAGGGCUGCGUUGAUCAGUAAUGCAAUCCUAGAAGAAGAAGAGGGCUGCAGGAUGUCUAUUAACUCAAGGUGCUGUUCAGAAACUUCCUCCAAGUUAAUUCUUAACUCACUGGCAACUCUUGUGAAAAGGUCUUGAAAUUUUGAGAAAUCAUCCGAAGGUGCAGGGGGAGGAGGAAGUAAGGCUUCAUCAGGCGUAACAACUGGGUCUACUGGGUUUGAGGCAGGUCAUGACAGAUCCUGCAGUUGUGACGGUGCUGCCUGGUGUCUUAUGUCAAUGGCAGUUUUGUCAGCUGGGGAUGCCGGGCAGGUGUCGUGCCUGGUUGAGGUGGCACAGCGAGUGUGGUCUCGAGGAUAAGAUGCCUAUGGGGCCCAAUAUUGCCACUGUGGUGGGAAGGGCAUAGGUGGUGCCAUCCAGAGGCUUACACACCACGGGGCAGGAUCCUGAGAGUAGGACAAAGUAAUUUUUCUAUGACCUCUAUUGAUUGGGGUCUGAGGAUGGGAGAUUUGAUAUGGUGAAAAUUCCCCCUGCAUUCCAGUUUCCUCAUCACUGGAGGAGGAAGGCUGUCCAGACCCUGACUGAGCAUUUGGAGAGAGUAGGCAUUGAGUAGGGGUGACUGCAGGAUAGGUGACACCAGCAGGUCCCUUGACUGUAAAUUGUGAUGCUGGAGCUCCUCUGUGAGGUGAGGGCUGUGCAAGAGGAAUCUGCUUUGAAGAAAAGUUCCUCUGCACCAGUGUCCCAAGCACUGUUUCACUGCCGGCCAGCUCAGCGGGUGUCGGUGCAGGGAGAGCAAUAACAGCCUGCGGGGGGUCAGGCAUGUCAGCAUGUGUCGGCACUGCUUCCGUCGCGGUGCUGAACGGUGCCAGAUGAGAGGCAGGCAACUGGAAGCCUAAAGCCUCGGGAGUAGAGCUUCGUAGUACUGCCACAGCUGCAGGUGGGUUUCGCGUGGCACCGGAGUAGCCCGGCAUGUCAAAAGUGCUCAGCCGGGGAAGCGCCGGGAGGGAGGCUGUAGACUUCCCCGGGGAAGUCUUCUCCUGCGAAGUUCCCUUUUCGGGUGAGAGAAGAUGCUGGUUUUUUGAAGUUUUUUUGUCCUUCUUUGAGGCGUGCGGGGAGGGGAGGGGGCGCUGUGGCGUGCAGUGGAGCUGGAGUCGGCGCCCGGGUCUGCAGCGGACCCUGAAAAUUUUUGAAAGAGCGGCAGUUUUAGCCUCUGCUCCCUCUCCUCCUGUGCCCUAGAUUGCUGCAGUGGGCACAUUUUUGAGGGAUGUAGGACUCCCCCAAACAUUUAAUGCAUUUUGAAUGGCCAUCGAACAGAGGGAUGGCGUGAUUGCAGGUAGAGCAGCGCUUAAACCUGGGGAGCCAGGCAUGUCGGAAGCGGCUGCUUGUAAGGAAAAUUUUUUUUUUUAAGAGAGAAAAAGAUAGAAAAAUGGUAACUAAGUAUUACUGGUAACAAACUAACUAACUAAAAAGAUAAUUGUAACAAAGGGAGAGAAAGUGUCUAACAAGUCUGCUGAGCUCAGUCUCAGGCCGGGAACGGUAGAGAAGGAACUGAGGAGACCAGUCGCGCACGCAUACUAUUAAGGUACACUCAGAGCGGGGGCGGGCAGGCUCUGUGCGUGUGCGACCGGCACGAGUACUGCUGUAAAAAUCUCCAAGCGAAGGUGCAGGGAUGCAC